rnacentral:rRNA from 1 species
CGUGCUUAACACAUGCAAGUCGAACGAACCUUCGGGUUAGUGGCGGACGGGUGAGUAACGCGUGAGAAUCUGCCCUCAGGAGGGGGAUAACGGCUGGAAACGGCCGCUAAUACCCCAUAUGCCGAGAGGUGAAAUGAAUUUCGCCUGAGGAUGAGCUCGCGUCUGAUUAACUAGUUGGUGGGGUAAAGGCCUACCAAGGCUUCGAUCAGUAGCUGGUCUGAGAGGAUGAUCAACCACACUGGGACUGAGACACGGCCCAGACUCCUACGGGAGGCAGCAGUGGGGAAUUUUCCGCAAUGGGCGAAAGCCUGACGGAGCAACGCCCCGUGAGGGAUGAAGGCCUCUGGGCUGUAAACCUCUUUUAUCAAGGAAGAANAUCUGACGGUACUUGAUGAAUAANCCACGGCUAAUUCC